rnacentral:rRNA from 1 species
AGGCCACUGCUAUCAGAGUUCGAUUAAGCCAUGCGAGUCGAGAGGUGUAAGACCUCGGCGUACUGCUCAGUAACACGUGGAUAACCUGCCCUUGGGUCCGGCAUAACCCCGGGAAACUGGGGAUAAUUCCGGAUAACGCACAUAUGCUGGAAUGCUUUAUGCGUAAAAUGGAUUCGUCUGCCCAAGGAUGGGUCUGCGGCCUAUCAGGUAGUAGUGGGUGUAAUGUACCUACUAGCCUACGACGGGUACGGGUUGUGAGAGCAAGAGCCCGGAGAUGGAUUCUGAGACAUGAAUCCAGGCCCUACGGGGCGCAGCAGGCGCGAAAACUUUACAAUGCGGGAAACCGUGAUAAGGGGACACCGAGUGCCAGCAUCCUAUGCUGGCUGUCCGGGUGUGUAAAAUACACCUGUUAGCAAGGGCCGGGCAAGACCGGUGCCAGCCGCCGCGGUAACACCGGCGGCCCGAGUGGUGAUCGUGAUUAUUGGGUCUAAAGGGUCCGUAGCCGGUUUGGUCAGUCCUCCGGGAAAUCUGACAGCUCAACUGUUAGGCUUUCGGAGGAUACUGCCAGACUUGGAACCGGGAGAGGUAAGAGGUACUACAGGGGUAGGAGUGAAAUCUUGUAAUCCCUGUGGGACCACCUGUGGCGAAGGCGUCUUACCAGAACGGGUUCGACGGUGAGGGACGGAAGCUGGGGGCACGAACCGGAUUAGAUACCCGGGUAGUCCCAGCCGUAAACGAUGCUCGCUAGGUGUCAGCAUGGCGCGACCGUGUCUGGUGCCGCAGGGAAGCCGUGAAGCGAGCCACCUGGGAAGUACGGCCGCAAGGCUGAAACUUAA